GCCAUUAACCCUUGAGAGUCGAAGGACGCGCCGGCGCGUCCUCAGCGCACGUCGUCUUUGAAGCACCCUCGCGUUUUAAUUACGUCACCCACAUGCCGUUGGUUGGUCUCGUUUUAAAGUGCGGAAGUUGCGGUUUACUCUCGUUGUUAUUUGAAGUCAAUCGACCAACUAAAACGUGAGAUAUUGUCAUUUAAGUUUUAUAGUUUUAUUGUCCUCUCAAAAAAACAUUAAAACGCUGCAUGGAUCAUUUGUUUAUGUCUAUAUUUCCAUCAUUUCUUGUCCUUUUUCAAAACGGAAGCUCCAUGAAAAAAACACAAAUCAAACGAACCCUUUCGAAGUCACAGUGGAAGCACAAAAUGCGUUUUUUUUUUUUUUAUAAAUAUAACUGCCGUGCGAGGUUCCACCGAACGAGAGGCAGGAGUGUUCUGACGCAGCGAGGGGGCGAGCGACGGCCGUUUGAAUCAAGCAAGCGGGCGAGCGACUUUGUGUGACUUUGAGGAUGAACGGAAAACUAAAUUUAGCGCAAGCAAUUGUGCUUUUUGAUCAACUUGAGGAAGAGGGUGGUCCAAAUUCGUCAUCAUCGUCUUCUUCGGAAGAGUCCUCGAGUGAAGAUAGUGACGGAUUUGAACACGUGGGUGACGCCAUCGACGAGCAGAGUGACAAUGAAAGUAAAGUGAAAUGAAAAUGGAAGGGUGGAAAGAGGACCGACACCCCAUGGAAGUGUGGGCUGUGAUGUAGCCCUGUGUCUAAUUCCAGGACGAAACUGCUUUUCGGAGUGGCAUGCCUGAAAAAAAUUUAACUUGUUUAUUGUAAAUAUUUUUGAAAAUACUUUUUUCCCCAAUGUUAUAUAUAUAUUUUUUUUCCCACAAUCAGUCUUCUCAAUUUGUGUAUAUAAAUGUGUGUUCAAGAAGCUUGAUUGUGUGUACAUAGUUUUCAUCAGGUGAUGGGCCGCAAUACCUAAACUCAUAAAGAGAUGGCCUCUAAACACUUUUUGUGUUAGAUGGUAUAUUUUUUCACUGUUCUUCACUGUUUGGUCUGCUGUAUAUAACCUGUUUUGACUAGAGCAUGUAUAAAUGCAAAAAACGCCUAUGGCUAUACCUGUUGUUUAUGUUGAAUUGUCAAAUAAAAGACUAUUUAUUCUAAUUUUUUUUGGUUGAAUGUUCAUCCUAACAUGUUGAAUAAAUAUUACAAAGUUUCAAAACGGUUCGUUACGCAUGUUUGGUUGUCAAUUGGACAUCAAUAUUAAAAAUUUUGACAAAACGAUUUUGGAAUUUUUGGUCUUUUUGGGCCCAAAAUUAUGAUUUAUAAUUGGUCAGUGAAGGAAACAACAGUUUGGACAUGAAGUUCAAGGUGUCACAAAAAAAGGGACCAAACCAGGCCAUCGUAAACAAUUCUGUCUUUGAAAUAUAAAGGCAACUUCAAAGGCAUGCAAAAUCAGACAAAAUAGGCCCAGACCUUAAAGGGUUAAUGUUCUACUUACGUCUUUGUAAAACCAAGGUUGCAUUGUUGUAGGUUUUCAAAGCUGUCGUGGCUGAAAUGAUGAAAACAAUGAGCCGAUUGGGGACCUGUAUGCAUGCUAACAAAAACAGUCCAAACCUUUGCAGGAGAAGUUUUUUUGGACCACUCCUAGAGUCUCGAGUCUUCCUGUAAACCUGCUGACAACACAUCCCGAUUGGUCACCAUCUCUCUUCUUGGAUCAUUUGACAAAGAAAAUUUGUUCAAUGGAGUGGUUCCAUUUGUCCUGUGUCGGACUCAAACAAGCCCCUGCAGCAGACGCCAUCUGGGUCUGCCCUUCUCGUCGAUGAACUGCGGGCUUUUAACUUGUGAAAAUGCAAGAACUUUAAUGCACAUAUUUAUUCUGCAUGGCUAUUUAACUAUGGCCAGUGACGUUUUUUUUUUUUUUUUUUUUUUAAACCACUUUGACAAAGACACGUUUCAUUGUAAUGUUGAAUUUAUAUAUUCUAUUAUUAUUUUUAAAUUAUAAUAUUCUUAUUUGCACUUAUGUAGACUUUAGACUGUCAAUUCAAAUAGUGUUGGAAAAGUUGCAAUACCUAAAAUAGAAAUGCAAGAACUGUAAAGUACAUAUUUAUACACCUUUAUUUACCUAAGGCCACUGGAUGUUUUUUAACUGCUUUGAAAAAUACAGGUUUUGUUGUGAUCUUGUAUUUAUAUAGUAUAUAGCUUUUUAUAAUGUAUUAUGUAUUAUAAUAUUUGCUGCCCCCUGCCAGAGUGUGGGCCAUUUUGUACUAAAAGGAUUUUAAACUGUCAGUUCAAAUACUGUGUUGGAGACUAGUACUUGCAAUACUUAAAAUGGAAAUGCAAGAACUUUAAAGCACAUAUUUAUCCUGUCUGGCAAUUUACCCAAGGCCAGUAAAUAGUGUUUUAAACUGCUUUGACAAAGACACGUUUAUUGUGAUCUUGUAUUUGUGUAUUACUUAUAAUUAUAUAACAUUUGCUGCCACCGUCAGAGGGUGGGCCUUGUUUGCACUAAUUUAAAGAUUUUAAACUGUCAAUUCAAAUAUCGUAUUGGAGAAAUUGCAUUACUUGAAAUAAAUCUAUUGCAACUUAUCAGUCCCAGUUCUUGUCUACAACACUGUCCAAAAAUUGUCAAUGCAUAUUCCAAAUAGAAUAACAAAAUUGAGUCACCUGACUUUGUAAUUAUUACACCUGUUUAUUAUGAAGACCUGAAGUAAACAACAAGCAGUUAUAGUUUGUCAAGAAGUUGUUCAAGUCAUGUUUUGGUAUUCAUAUUUUAUUGACUUUUCACAACAACACUUGGGAUCGUGUUUGUAAGAGCAGAGCAAACUGAAGUUUCAGCGUGCACUCUUCGCCUUUCCAACCUCUCAUAACGCUCCGAUGUGGUGCGCUUGACCUCAG